UGAUCUAUGCUUUCAGUUUGGCUACUCUGGCCUUACAUUUGAAAUCCAUUUUGAAUUCUCACUUAAGUGAAUAACUCUGACAGAGAUAUCCUUAAUGGAAACCUGGUCCGGAGUACUCAGAAUGGGUCAGAGGUUCAACUUUCAACAGGACAAUGACGCUAAUGCCAAGACAACACAAAAGUGGAUUAAGAUCUGUGAAUGUGAGUGUCUCAGCGAGAGCCUGGACUUGAACCCAAUCGAACAUCUCUGGAGAGACCUGAAAAUCGAUGUCCACCAACAGCCCCCAUCCAACCUAACAGACAAAACCAAAAAGAUAUGAGGCUGCAUUCACUGCCAAAGGUGCAUCAACUAGGUACUGAGUUAAAG